GAAUCCGCACAACAUCUGUGACUCUGUAAUGGUCCCCACAACAACAGUGGCCAGGAAGCUUCAUCUUUUGGAUCACUGGGGACAGGGACAGAGGUGGCCGGUUAGUGCAGCUCAUAAAUAACCUUUCCAGCACAUCCUGAUUGAAGGUGGAGUUGGUUCGUCUGGACAGAAGCCUGUCAGCUUGACUGGCAGCCGCAAGCGGAUGGCCUGGCUCUUGGGCUCCUCCUGGCCGAACCUUUGGUCCUUAUUGUGGUCAACAUCCAGGAAAAAAGAAAAAGAGUAAGGCCAGCAGUGGCGGCCCAGCACUCAGGGGCAGAGGCAGUAGAUCUCUUGAGUUUGAGGCCAGCUUGGUCUACAGAGUGAGUUCCAGGACAAGUAGAGCUACAUAGAGAAACCUAGUCUCAAAAGAAAAAAGUGAAACUAGGAAAGAAGGCAAACUUGCCAUCUUUGUCUGCCACUUGUGGCUGUCCCUGGUGGCCAACAGGUGACCGUGUGUAUACCGGCUCACAAAGGAUAAUUGAACUCCCAGCUCACUCCUCCAAAGUAAGGACUAUUAUCGUCCCAUUUUAUAGAUAGGGAAACUGGGGCUCGGGAUGAUAUGACUGGUCCAGAACACACACACACACACACACACACACACACACACACACACACAAACACACACACACACACACACACACACACACACACACACCACAUCGAGACAGAGACAGACAGAUAGGCAGGCAGGCAGGCAGAGGCAGAGACAGAGACAGAGAUCCAGGAAGGCAUACACACAGGUUAUGGAGAGAAGAAAGGAGGGGGUCACAGGGGCAGGGGAAAUCUCAGGGUUCCCAUGACCUUGUCAGGUCCACAGUUUUCUGUCCUUUGGGAAAUGGGGGUGUGGGAGCUCACACACCAUUCCCGAACUUUGCUGCAAGUCCAAAGAGAGUUCAUUCCAGCCAGUGCCCACGUAGCCCGGCCGCAGAGUGACUAACGGUGGAUGUGGAGCAAGCCUUCGGCUAAUUCUGUGGCUGAAGCCAGCCUGGGUGUGGGCCCUGCCCAGUCCCCCUCUGCCUUGGGUCCUUCUGGCCCUUGGUGACGCAGCUGUGGUGGAGUUUGGCAACUCCAGUUGCCCACAGUUAUGACAGCUGGGGGUGGGGUAGUUGGGCCAGUCCCAGUCUCUGCCAGAGACCCUUUCUGACAGCCUAGCAAGCAUGGGAUACCCCUCCCUCUCUGUGCCUUCCCUGACAGUGGUUGUUUUUAAGGACUAGAAACUCAGGGCUUUGGGCAGGACUCUGCCUGUCACUUUGUUACCAACCAUUCUGAGGAGAACCAGAUGGCACCUGCUUUUUUUUCUUUUUUUUUUUUUUUAAAGACAGGGUGUUACUAUGUAGCUCAGGCUAACUUUACUAUGUAGCCUAGGUUGGCCUCAAAGUUCUUCUGGCAAUGCUUCUGCCUCAGUCUCUCCAGUGCUGGGAUUACACACCUGAGUCAUCAAACAGGACAGCUGUCUCUUAGUACCAAAAAAGGAAAAGGUAAAACUGAACAGUUCCUGGGAGGGGUUGUGUACACCUGUAAUCCCAACAUGGAGGAUCAGGAGUUCAAGGCUUCAUGAGAUCCUCUCUAAUAAGUAGGAAAGAAAGAAAUGGAACAAAGUAAUAGUAGCGAUGUAUUCCCCCUCCAAAUAACUGCUAAACUCCUACUGUGUGCUGGGGACUACUCAUAGCCCCAGGGGUUCCACAGUGUACAGAACAGACUCCCCCUGUUCUUAGAACGGUGUAGAUUAAGCAAUAGCCCAGCUGUGGAUGGUGCAGAGAGGGGCAGGGGUAACCCCCACAGGACAGGCGAGCACCAGCUCAGGUACAGAGCUCUGGGGCUAAGUCUCCAGGGAAGGAGACCUUCGACUUGAGCAGGACACUCCUUAUGAAAGCGGAAACCCUCAAGGCUCUGAGCAAGUGCCUGGUCAGGAAGGUCCCUGAGGAAGUGACGUAUGCGUGCUGACUGGGAAGGGGGCAGAUCUGUAGGCCACUAGAGGAAGAACCUUCCCAGAAGGGGCAAAGCUGGGGCAGAGGCAGGAAGACAGUCGCCACUCCUGGGAGCGGGUGGCCAGUGGGAACGCCCCUUGGCCUUGGGUUUCUCCUCUUCGAAGAGGGAGCAAGGGCCUUCCAGGCAGGCAUCAGGAAAUAUCUCGGAAGCUGCUGGGAUCCCCCAGGGCCAUGCACCUUUCCCCUGGCCGCCAGGGCCCCAGCUGCCCCAGUCUGACCAAAUGGCAGGUGCGUGGGAAUGGUGCGCCUGUGGCUCACUGCUUUCCAAGGAACCCCAUUUCCCCGUGUUGGGGGGAUGGAGCUGAUGUUCCUCUCUCCUCAUGGUGGUCAGCCUCUCUGAAGCCCCAUGCUUCUCUGCAGUGGAAGAGGAUGGUGUGGGUGGAGCAGACCCGGCUCUCUCAGGAGGAAAUGCUGCUCUGUCUCCUUUACAAAAGGAGGAACUGAGGCCACAGCGAGGCGGGUUCUGGCUCUGGCCAGGCGCUCACGCAGAACUGGGCAUUGGGCCGAGCCCUUUGACCCCAGCUGCUUCGCCUGGUUCUCUCAGCAGACAAGGUAGGAAGCAGCCGCUGGGACCCAAGCUUUACAAGUGAGGAAGUAACUGGGGGCUAAGAGGAAAGGCAAGGCCAAGGCCAGGUCACAGGGGAAGCUGGGACAGCCAACUGCACUCCAGAUCCAGGGACACCAACCUGAAGCUGCUGGCUAUGCAGGCAGGAUGAAGAACACACACACACACACACACACACACACACACACACACACUUACACACAUACACACACACAUACACACUCACCCAUAUAUACAUAUACACACAUAUACAUAUAUACACUCACAUAUACAUAUAUACACACAUACACAUAGACACAUCCAUACAAACACUCAUAUACAUAUACACACACAUACACACUCACCCAUACAUAUACACACACUCACACACACAUAUACACACUGACAUACUCACACAAUAUAUGCACGCUCACAAACACACACAUAUACACACAUACACACUCACCCACACAUACACACACAUACACAUAUACACACCCACCCAUACAAAUGCACUUAUACAUAUACACACACAACUCACACACAUACUCACACACACAACUCACACACACACACACACACACACACACACACACACACAGGGGUAGAUGAGGUAAACAAGGCCUUUCGAAGUCAAGGGCUGUGAUACAAGCAAUUGCAGGAGUUGGGGGCUAAGAAAGGUGUUUCCUGUGUUUUGUUUUGUGGUGGUGCAGAUUUUGGGGUGUUUUGUUUUGUUUUGAGACAGGGCCCCUUGUAGCUCAGGCUGACCUAAAAUUCACUAUGUAGCUGACCAUGAUUUUGAACUGUGUUUUUUGUUUUUGUUUUUGUUUUUGUUUUUUGAGACAAGGUUUCUCUCUGUGGUGCCAGACAUCCUGGAUCGUUCUCUCUCUGUAGACCAGGCUGACCUUGAACUCGGAGAUUUCGCCUGCCCACCACCAGCAGGUUUAUUUUCUCUUGCCUCGACUUCCUGAGUGCUGGGACCCAGGCACGAGCCACCACACCUGCGUUACCAGGUGCCUUUUGGUUAUGUAACCGUAAAUAACCCAAGGUAGCCUUGAACUCCUAGCACUCAUCCUGCUUCAGCCUCCAGAGUGCUGGGAUACCGAGGUGUCGGCCAGCAUUCCCAGCUAAGUUGCACGUUUUUCUACCUGGAUAGUCCAAGGAAGCUGGGGAAAGCCUCACUCUCCACCCAUCCCGGAGCUUGUUGGAUCAUUCAUUCAUUCAUUCAUUUGAACACUUAACUGGCAUGACAUAAGACUAACUUUAAAUGUAAAUAGAUUGGGGUUGGGGAUUUAGCUCAGUGGUAGAGCGGUUGCCUAGCAAGCGCAAGGCCCUGGGUUCGGUCCCCAGCUCCGAAAAAAAAGAAAAGGAAAAAAAAUGUAAAUAGAUUAACUCAACAAGACCUGCCUCAAAAAGGAAGGAAGUCGCUGGGUGUGAUGGCCACACCUGUAAUUCCGGCACCUGUAAGGCAGAGGCAGGUGGAUCUCUGGGAGUUUAAGCCCAGCCUGGUCUACAGGGCUGGGGUGGAGCUCACUAGGGAAUGCUUCCAUAGCGUGCACAGUCUCUGCUUUUGACUCCUGCUCCCCAUGCACAACCAUAGUACAAACAGUAACCUCUUUUGUUGGGCAAAUAUUUAUGGAGUGCUUAAUCUGUUAAAAGAUGCUGUUUUAGACGCUAAUGAGAGUCAAUAAAAAGAAAAUCUAGUGGGGAUGGAACCUUGAGGGGCUGGGAGGGACCAGGGAGAGAAACACGAAGGUGCAGGUGUGGAAGGUGACGACAGGGUCUAGAGGGAGGCACUGGGAGAGGCCACCGUGAUUGAGGAACAGCCUUGUGGGGGAAGGGCGGGAAAGGUCUGUCAGCUGGGCCACCCUGGAGCAUAAACAGGACACUCACCCUGUGGAUGUGCUGCCUCUCCAACAAAGCCAGCUGGGGUGGGCUGGAGAUGGGGGCUUCCUCCAGCUGCCUGGGCCACCCAGGGCACAGACUAUGCCUCCUCCUGGGAAGAAUGCUGUGUGAGUCACUGGCUCAGGCUCAGGCUCUGCCUUACCAGUUCUUUUAAGUCCUGGUCGCAUGUUAGUUUCCUCCCAUUUUACAGAAGUGAAAACUGAGGAUUAGACGUACAGUAAGCAGUGUGCCAGCCACACAGCCAGCCAAUGGCAGGGCAGGAGUUUAACGUUCUUGUAUUGGUUAUCACCAGGAUACCUGCUUGGCAUCACAUGGCCUCUUAGGGGCUGGAGGUGGACAGGCCUUUGCCAGCUGUGUGUUCCCUUCCCCUCCUAAGGCCAUUGUUUCUUAUCUGGGAAACAGCAUGCUAGGUCAGUAUCAGGACCCGCUGUUUGGGUAACAACUCCCUAAAUGCUAUGUGGACACAACUCCUCAAUUCAUCCUCACAACGACUCUGUUUAACAGAGAAGAAAACUGAGGCACAGAGAAGCAGUGCUCAUGGCCUUGAGGCCUCCCAGGGGUUUGAGGUCAGCUCAUUGGAUUGUUGGAUGGUAAAUCCCCAGACUGCAGAAAUCUGAGGUGAGGAGUCUGGGGUAGAGGUGGGGACAGAGACAGGCAGUUGAAUCGGGCAAGAGCGAAUCAAACCCAGGAUGUGGGACCCGGCCCCUGCCUUCUGGAUAGAGGCCUAGUUCCUGAGUGACAGGACCAUGAAAUCCCUGUGUAUCCCCUCAGGCUUCGCCUGGGCCCUGCCCAAACAAACAGGAAAUGCCAAGUGGUCCCCCACCCCCACCAGGGCCGUGGGAAGGCUCUGGAAGAAGUUUGAGUCAGGACUCCUGCUCUGGGCCAGCUUCUGCUGAGCCAGGGCCCAGGAGGGCUGCCUGACCUCAGGCAGGGCCUGCCCUUCCUGGCCCCUGUCUCCUCACCACUUGUCGAAACACUGGCGAACAAGCCCCACUACCCAGGGCUGUGUGAGCUGGGGCAGUGGCGGUGGCCCUCUAAGCCCAGCCUUCUCUUUCAUGUUUCUUCCACUGAGCUGCUUGUGACCUUAGUGAAGAAGGGGAGGGGAAGGCUGGGCUCUGAGAAGUCAGUGGUCAGGGGGCAGAGGACGGCUGAGAGUUAGAAAGCUUGCUCAGCAAGUAAGAGGUGCUCGGUUCGAGCUCCACAUUUCCCCCCCUCCCCCUCUCCUCCCACACCCCCUUCCCUCCCACACGCACUCAAAUUCCAGGACCUCUGCAAAUGGUUUCAAAUUCUUCCCUGGGCCGCUCUUCUCCUCUCACGCCUCAGUUUCCCCUCAGUAAAGGAGGUCAACCUGCGACUGAUUUAUUGCUGGACCUCACUGGCUGGCUGCAAUGGCGAUGCAGGGUAGCGGGGGGUGGCAUGGUGGGAGGACACAGACUUCGGAUCUCCUGGGCGGGGGCCCACAGAGGUGGAAGAUAGAAAGCUCACCUCCCACACACAAUGAAUUCAAGGCCAACGUGGGCAGCAUGAGAGCCUGUUUCAAAACAAACAAAAGACGCCCCUCCCCACAACCAGGGAAACCCCUUAGAGGUUCUAAAAGUGAAGCGAGGCCAGUCGCUGGUCCCACAGAGAGAAACUGUGGCAUGGGCUGUGGCCACACUUUACUGAGGGAAAUGGAACACCAAGCUCAUACACAGAGGACAGACCCGCCAGGGCCAUGGCUCUGUCACCAAACAUCUGUUAUCUGGUCUUGGGGGCGUGGGUUCCUCCCAUAGUGGGCGACUGUGCAGAUCCCAGAAGGCUGAUCUGUCCACCCACUCAAGGUUCUUCCUCUUUCACCAUCGAAUAUUUCAAGGGAGGGCCUGGCACACAGUAGGUGCACAGUGGGCAUCAGUCAUUGCCCUGUCCCGAGGUCCCUGCUGCUGUGACCCUAGGCUCUGUAGCUUUGUUCUGCCCACCCUUGCAGACCAUUUUAGGUGCCAGCACCCACUGCCCUGAGCUCCGGGUCCUGUCCUGCCUCCCACACAGACCCACAUGUCAGGAGCUGGGGACAGAGCUGGGGCCUUAUUAGUUACACUGGGCCUAGAGCUUUGAGAACUCUGGCUUUGUGGAUCGGGUAGGAGCCAGAGUGGGCUCUGAGCGGAGGAGAGAUGUGGUCUGACUUAGCUUUUCUACUCGAUGUACACUGGAGGGCACAGAGGGAGGGCCAGGAGGAUGGGGGAGGGGAGCUACCACAAUAUCCCAGCUGUCAGGAGGGCACUUGGCCACUUCCAUUCUCCUGGGAUUGUAGCGCUGGGGACUGAUCCCAGGGCCCCAAGCUAUUACCAACAAGUUAUAGUCCCUGCCUACCCUUUUUCCUUCCUCCUUCCUGUCUUUUUAGGUUUAUUUUGUCUGUUUUUUUUUUCCCCCCAAGACAGAGUUCUCUGUGUAGCCCUGGCUGUCCUAGAACUUGCUCUAUAGACCAGGCUGGCCUUGAACUCACAGAAGUCCUUCUGCCUCUGCCUCCUUAGUGCUGGGAUUAAAGGUAUGCACCACCACCGCCUGACAGGUUUUAUUUUAAAACCAGGCCUUUCCUCUCCCCCCCAACUCCCUUCUCUCUCUUCCUCUCCCUCUCUUUCUCUCUCUCCUCUUUUCUUUCUUAUUUUGUUUUUGUUGUUAUUUUCUGAGACAGAAUCUAUGUAGCCCAGCCUGGAACUUACUCUAUAGACCAGGCUAGAUUUGAACUCAGAAAUCCAACUGCCUCUGCCUCCCGAGGGCUGAGAUGAAAGGCCUCUCCCACCAUGGCCAGUCAUUUCCUUUAUUUUUUUCUUGAGACAAAAUCUUGCUAAUCAGCCUCAACAGACCUGGUACUGUGGAGUCCACGCUGGCCUCAAACCUUUGGCAAUCCUCCUGCUUCUGCCCCCAGCCUACACAUACAGAGAUGCUACCAUACCUGGCUUAGAGGUAGGACUUCAAAAAAAAGCUACCCAGGAUGCUCUGAAACCUUCCAGGCUACUUCCGCCCCCACCAGUAGCUGGGAUCACAGGCCUGUGUUCACAUCACAGGCCUCAGCUCUCUCCAUCAUGCCUAACGGAAAGGAGGAGGGGCCCCAAGUUCUGUUGAGACACCCCAGGGUUCCCGGAGUCCCCAGGCUGAGGCACAGGCACACCAGAGUCAGGCCCAGAGAGUUCUCACCUCCACUCUGAGGGGAUGAGAAGGAUCUUCCCUCAGUCCCUGCCUGUUGUGGGUACCACAUCCCUAAGCCUCACUGUGAGGACCCAGCCUUUCCACCUAGUCAGGGCCGGGUCAGUGCUGUUACCAACAAUUAAUGAACUGCAAUUGGAAAUCAUAAUGAGAAGAUUCUGCAGCCUGAGGCCUCUAGAGAGGGUGGAUAGCACCUCCCCUUCUUCCAGCAGAGGACAGGGGUGUGGGGGAGGGGUGUCACUGCCUGAGGUCACAAAGUAAUAGGGCUGUGUUCCAAUACCCCCUCACCACCUCUGUUCCAGAAACAGGCUGUCCAGGGGCUGCCGAAAUCCAGAUUUGUAAGACAAGCCGGGAACCAGAGGCCUCAUAGGUUCAGAGACCUACCCUUACACAGAGAGAGCCUCCUGACAGAAAAAGGCUUUCCUGGGUCCCCCUUACAUCCCUCCCACAAGCUGGGGGCUUUGGGCCCCUGCAGGAAGUGGCCUGGGCUGGGACAGGCCUGCUGCUUUGAUCAGUUUUACGAGAGCCUUGGCUGUUUACGGAGCGCCCGGCCCCCACCCUGCCACCCAGGGCUGUGUCCUGUCAGUGGCACUCAGAGAUAUUAGCUGUCCCUGGAGAGUCCGCUGCUGGGCCUCAGCCCCAUUUCCUCCAGCUUGGCCCUUGGCCUUGGCUCCUGGGAACAGAGCAGCCCCUCAGGCAGAUGCUAGGGUUGGGGGUGGGUCCUGAAACUGAGUGUAUGUCCACUUCUGUCUUGACCCGUGUUACCCUGGCUGGCCCAGGACCACCUCCAGUGCUCCCCACCACUCUGUACAGGGUGCUCUAUCCUCCUCCUGGAGCAGAGUAGCCCUCUCUGCCCCAUCUGACGACCAACGUCAAUCCGUCUCAGGUCUCGUUCUUUUUCUUCACCCCCAGGCUGAAGACUCUCGGGAUUUGUGUCUGCCUGUGUCUCUCCUUCCUUCUUCCUCAGUCCAGGGACCUCACGCCCCCAGUACCAGCCCCAGCUCCUAGUUGACACACAGUAGGUACUCAACAAAUGCUUCUUGAGUGCAAAAUAAAACCUUAGUCUGGGUGUGAUGGAACAAGACUGUGGUCCCAGCACCCAGGAGGCUGAGGCAGGAGGACCAGAAGUUCAAGGUGCUCUCAGAACAUCGUGAAUUCGAGGCCAGCCUAGAGAGGCUACGUGACACCCCGUUUUAUCCCCCUCCAGAGAGGUGGGGGAGAAUGCAGAUCUGGAGACAGACCUGUAGGAAACUAAAAGCACUAUCAUACCCCCACCCCGGCCACAUGCGUGUGCCUGGAAAACCUACCAGGGUGUGGCCUCUGCUCACUCACUAGGCCUGCCUGCAGCUCCCUUAUGGAUGAGGGAACAGGAUACGGAGGUGACAGAAUAUUCAGGGGACCAGACUUCCCUAGGCCCUGCCCCCAAUCCCACUCCUAACUUCCAGCCCCACCCCCAGCUACACCUGUGUUGGCUCUGGACAAGAAGCUACCCGUGCAGGUGUCUGACAAGCUGGGCCGGUUCUGGGGCAUUCACAGGAGGGCACUUCCCUAGGGGCGAUGCUGGGAGAUGCCUGUGGACACCUGCCGGCACCUGUCCGGCAUCUGUCCCACCUCUCCUCCCCCCAGCUGUCCAGGCAGGUCCUGUGGUCUCCUCCCAAGUCCUCCACACCCACAGGGCACCAUGGCAGGUUGUUCUCCGAGACACUCACCCCUCAUCUCUGUGACCUGGGCAGGUGCAGCGACAGCUUGGGGUGGAUGCACAGGUGGCAGCUGGCCUGCCUGCUCCCUGAAGAAGCCACUAGCAGAAGCUUCACAUCCCAGCCAUCUGGAACCCUUCAAUUCUGGGGGCGUGUGUGUGUGUGUGUGUGUGUGUGUGUGAGAGAGAGAGAGAGAGAGAGAGAGAGAGAGAGAGAGAGAGAGAGAGAGCGCUGCAAGGACAGGGUCUUCUGCUUGCCAGCAACACAGUAGUCUCCGAUUGUGGCGGUGGAAGUUCACAAACAGAAGAGUCAGGGCACCUGCCCAAGUUCACACAGCAAUCAGAAUUUGAACCCAAGACCGCAUGUCUUUCCCGUCCCUCCACCUUGUCUAGCAGUUUUGCUGAAGCCUACCGUAUAUGGACUGACAUUUAGCUAUGCGUGUCCAAGUGCAUUCGAUAGAUAGGGAUUUGUGGAGCCAUGACCAAGGCCAACCUGAUGUUCGUCUGGGGGACAGAGAAUCUGGCAGCAAAGUAACAGUGAUGUCAGCUCAGAUGUAAAAAGACCACGGGGGUCGGGGUGGGGCACAUGCUGUGAGGAGUAAGAUCCACGCUGAGAGGAAGAGCGGGCAGGAGAGGAAAAAGGGAGGCUGAGGAGAAGCAUCCACAGGGCAGCCUCUGUUUCCCCGUCAGCAUGUUGAUAACCUCGAGGCUUCCCAUCUCUCAAGAUGCCUGGCAUUCAGAAGGCGUGGGAUGCCCAGGUUAGUCUUAAUAGAUGUGAAGCCAGAAGGUUUGUCCACCUCAGAGGUUUCUGGGAGUCCCUGGACAGUUCAGCACAGCAUGGACUCUGGAGCAGACCCAGGAAGCCUGAAGGAUUCUGGGGUAAUGGCUGCUUUGGGACCCUGUAAGGGUGGAUGGAGGGCAAGAGGCAUCACCUCAGGAGCUUCAGCCCUAAGUCAGUUGCUGUCCACCCAAAGAGAUCUGAGAGGAUUCAGUGUCCCAGGACCCAAAGACCCCCAUCCCAUGGAUGAGGACUUGGAGGUUCAGAGAAAGCCCAGGAUCACACAGCUAGAAGGACCAGAACUGGACACAAUUCAAUCACCUUAAAGCUCACUACCCCCAAACAACCAUGUAGGAUGGAUACCAGAGUGGUCUUGCAGUGUACCCAUUGCACGGAUGAGUAAACUGGGGCUUGAGCCAAAGCAACUUCUCAGGAUGAUUGUAAUUUAUAUAAAUAUUUAUGGAGCACCUACUGUGUGCCAGGUAAAACUAGACACAGAGACACAAACCAGUAAGACAGCGUAUGUGAAUGCCUGCCCAGCAGUCCAUAGAUUCCUGACGACACAGGCUGAGGAAGGAAAAUCAGAAGUUCAAGGGCUGGUAACUUUGUGAGACUCUCUCAAAAUAAAAAGUAAAAACGGGUGCAGGGGUGCAGGGGUGCAGGGGUGCAGGGGUGCAGGGGUAUAGCUCAGUGAUAGAGUGUUUAGUCUCUGGGCUUGAUCACAGGAUGAUACACGACUUUAAUCCCAGCACUUGAGAGGCAGAAGCAGGAGGAUAUCUGAGUUCAAGUCCAGCCUGGUCUACAGAGGGAAUUCCAGGAUAUCGCAAAAAAGACUUUUUUUGGGAGGCGUGGGAGUGUUUAUUUCAUCUACGGCUUAAAAUCGUCAUCCAGGGAAGUCAGGGCAAAGCACUUGAAGUAGGAAACUGGAGGCAGGAGCUGAUGCAGAAAUCAUGUUUUGUUACUGGUUUGCUCCUCGAGGCUUUCUCAGUCUGGUUUCUUAUGCCAUCCAGGGCCACCUGCCGAGGGGUGGCAUCACCCACAGUGUGUCGGACGCUCUCACAUCAAACGGUUAAUUAGGAAGAUGCCCUAGACCAGACUUGGGGACAUUUCCUCAACUAAUGUUUCCCAGAGGACAUUUGCCCGUGUCAAGCUGACAAAGAAUUAACCGGGACACAGUCUAUAAUGGCAUUUUCUUUUUCUUUCUUUUUUUUUUUUUAACAUUUUUUAUUGGAUUUUUUUAAAUUUACAUUUUAAAUGUUAUCACCUUUCCUGGUUUCCCACAAAUAAAUCCCCCUCCGCCUUCUUCUAUGAAUGUGUUCCCCCAACCCUUCCCGCCUCCCCACCCUGACAUUCCCCUACAUUGCCUUAGCAGGACCAAGGGCUUCCCCUUCCAUUGGUGCCCCAACAAGGCCGUCCUCUGCUCCAUAUGCAGCUGGGUCCAUGGGUCUGUCCAUGUGUACUCUUUGGAUGGUGGUUUAGUCCCUGGGAGCUCUGGUUGGUUGGUAUUGUUCUUAUGGGGUUGCAAACCCCUUCAGCUCCUUCAAUUCUUUCUCUAAUUCCUCCAAUGGGGACCCCAUUCUCAGUUCAAUGGUUGUCUGCUAGCAUUCACCUCUGUAUUUGUCAGGCUCUGGCAAAGCCUCUCAGGAGACAGUUCUAUCAGUCUCCUGUCAGCAUGCACUUCUUGGCAUCAGCGAUAUUAUCUAGUUUAGUGGCUGUAUGUAUAUGAGCUGAAUCCCCAAAAUCUCAAAAUUUAAUUAGUAAAUUAAUUAAACAAGGGCUAGGGAGAUGGCUAAGUGGGUCAAGUGUCUAAGUGACAAGCAUGAGGACCAGAGUUCAAAUCCCCAGCACCCACUGAAGGAGGAAAAGCUGACCCAGCCUGUAACCCCAGGACUCAGAGGGCUGGCACAGACGAGGAUUCCCGAGGAGGCUGACAAGGUAACCAGGCGAAGGUGAACUCUAGGUUCAGCCGGAGAGAGCCCUGCUUCAAUAUAUAAGUGGAAGUGACCAAGGAAGAAACCUGAUGUCAACCUCUGGUCUCACACACUGCAAGCAUACAUGCACACACAUGUACACACAUGAACACACACAUGCACACCACACAUGCAUAAAAUAAAGUGAAAUAAGAAGGCAAAGUUUUCCAAAUAAGUUUGUGUUCAAGUCCUGAUUACCACUUGCUAGCUGUGUGGUCUUGGGCAAAUUCCUAAACCUCUCUGUGCGAAGUUUCUUUGUUCAUAAAGUGACUUUCCCUCAUGAAGGUAAGCCAGGAUCUGUGCAACUCAUGUUUUAUGCUUUUUUUAAAAUUUUAUUUUACAAUUAUUGUUUUUUGAGAUGACAAAGGGUCUUACUCUGCAGCUGAGGCUGAUCUAGAACUCAAAGCUCUCCUCCUGCCUCAGCUUCCUGAGGCACACUUGAACCAUCACACCUGGCUUAUUUUACAAAUCCAUUUUAUUUAUGAAUUUAUUAAUUUAUUAUCUUUUUGAGACAGAGUCUUUCUCCAUAGUCCUGGCUGACCUGAAAGCUGGAGCCUGCUCCCUGGACCAGGCUGACUUUGAACUAACAGAAAAAUCUUCCUGCCUCUGCCUCUCAAGUGUUAGGCUUAAAGGCGUACCCCACUGUGCCCGGCUUGUUUGCAAAUUUUGAUGGUGUGUCAACAGUAUUCCAGCCUGUGCCUUGGGAACUGGGUGUACAGACAGGAGCAAGGUGUGUCAUCACCACCAAUGUGGAGCUAGCUUCUUCCGGAGCCCCCUCUUCCUGGUCACAUUCUGGAACUUUCAGGUGGGCACAGACACCUGCUGCGACAGGUACCAGCCUCCGCUGGCCUGGGGCUGACACCCACUAGGCUGGCAGAGGCUUCUCGAAGAAAGGCUUUCAGCCAUUAAGGUCCUGGUGGUGCCGUAGGUUGGGCGAGAUGAGUUUCCCAUGCAGCUGGUCCUGUCCUGCCCCACUCUCCUACAGCCCCUCCUUGCUCUACUCGUGCACCUCCCCAGGUGUGGCCCAGAGGACACUGCACUCAGGGCACUGGGGACUUCUCCAAGCUGCCCAGAGAUCCCAUGGCUCUGACAGCCCACAGGCAGGGACCACACCCCUGGCAACCUAAGGCCAAGCCAUAGCCCCUGAGGGACGAGGGUGAGGAAUGGACCCCUCUGACCCCGAUGAGGCUUGAACUAUCUAAAUGUCAUAGCCCACAAGCUUCCCAACCCUACUCAGACUGUCUGGUUUCCAUGGCAACAGCCACUUCCUUGUUGCCCCACCCUUCUGUCGUCGUGGAGCACCUGCAGGCCCUGGAGUACCUGACUACCGAAUGCAGGGGAAGGGAUAGCAGCUGCUGGCCUCACAAGAGGAAGCAUCCUGAGGCCCUGGAUUUUCAGAUGGAAAUGAGAAGCCAGAGCCGAUGCCAAAUGUCCCUGUGUGACAUGAGCCAGGUGCUUGGCAUUUGUCACACCUGCAUCCCUCACACAGGCGAAGAGACAGGACCACCUGCCAGGCCAGCAGGACCAACUGGAAUGAGGCUGCGGCUGCGUGGCCUCAGGGACCACAGGUGCCCACAUGGGGUGGGGAAGGGGUGUGCACGGACAGCUCUGCAACAACUGUUCUUGCUCUUUUAAGAUGGGGGUGACCUCAAACUCACUAUAAUCCUCCUGCCUCAGCUUCUCAACUACUGGAAUUACAGAAGUGCACCACCACAUCCAACUAUACCAUAAUCUUUUUUUUCCCCCUGUGGCGUAGUUGACCCCGAACUUGCAGCUCGCCAGUUCUCUGCUAAUAGGUGUGCAGCACCCGCACAAUCAGCUUCCUUAGCCCUGGGGAUCCCGGGGCUGUGCGCAUGCCCGCCCGGCCAACACUCUACCCACUGAUCACACCGCUAAGCCUCCCGCAGGCAGCCUAACCCUCCUGCAGCCAUUUGUCACUUCACAGCCAAGGAGUAGUCGGGGAUGAAUGGAUGUGCUGAACGGAAGACAGAAGGACUGAAUGGCGUCGGUCCUAGGCCUGGACAGCUGACCAGGUCAGGAAGGAAGCCGGAAGCCUGACCAACCAUGUGUCUAGGUCCAGCUCCGGCCUCUGCCUGUCCACACAUCCUCAGUGGUGAGCUGGCUGCUGGGGCUGAUUGAAAAGGCAAGCUGAUCCUGGAAAGCCUUUAACGUGUGGGAAACAUGCGGGCAACAUAUCUCCACUCCGUGUCCUGGCUGGCCCCUUAGUGGUCGGAUUCUGACUCGAGCCUUCCGGAUGUUCCCUGAACACAUCAGGCACAUUCCAGCCCCAGGGCCUUUGCACUUGCUGUUUUCGUUGUCUGGAAGCUUUUCCUGUCCCUCGGGUGUCUGCAGGGCUCCCUCCUCCUCCCUACUCCCUUCAGGGUUCUGCUCAAUGGUCUUGAGGCCUUCACUCACCGUGAGAAGCACCUGUCCCUCUUCCUUUGGCUCUCCACUUUGGAGGGUAAGAACAUUCUCUUCGGCUUCCAGACUGCCACCAGCUCCUGGGGACGGGACUUGUAUUCCUCUACAGCUGUGGUUAUGGGUGCUGAAGAGAUGGCUCAGUGGUUAAGAGCACGAACUGCUCUCCCAGAGGUCCUGAGUUCAAAUCCCAGCAAUCACGUGGUAGCUCACAAUCAUCUGUAAUGGCAUCUGAUGCCCUCUACUUAUGUGUCUGAGACAGCUACAGUGUACUCAUAUAUAAUAAAUAAAUCUUUGGGCUGGCAAGAUGGCUCAAUGGUUAAGAGAACUGACUGCUUUUCCAGAAGUUCUGAGUUCAAUUCCCAGCAACCACUUGAUGACUCACAACCAUCUGUAAUGGGAUCUGAUGUCACCUUCUGGUGUGUCUGAAGAGAGGGACAAUGUAUCCACAUACAUUAAAUAAAUAAAUAAAAUCUUAAAAAAAA